UGGGAGCUGCCUGUAUCCUGAGGCUGGAGGAGGGGGUCUGCAGCUACGUUCUGGCAUUUGCUGCUCUGAAUUUUGAUGAUUGUCUGGUGAAAAAUUGCAUGGGCCAUCCUGUGUCAAGACAAUCAUUGCUGUCUCCUCCUUUUAGUUAGCAAUUUGUCUUCAAGCUUACUACUUAGGCAGGAACUGUGUCAACACUGUGCAGAUGUGUUUUAACCCAGCAGAAUAUUUCAGUGAGCUUGAUGGCUUCCAAGAAUCUUGUGGCUGGAAUCUGUGAUGUUUCCCUUUGAAUUUUUCAGAUGAAGUUUUUUUCCUGAUUUUUGGAGAGGUGAAAUUGUGAUGGUAUCAUAAUGAACAAAUGAAUGAAUACAUAAAACUGUAAAAACAUCCCCUUGGGCAACAAAUUUGCUCAAUUUAAUGCUGGAAGAGAGGGUUAAGUGCUAUGUGACAGAAACUGUAUUAGCUGUUGCAAAAGGAGCUACUCAUUUUGAUCAACAGCGCAACGUUUGCCUUCGAAUCUCUAGUCCCAGUUGGAGCAGCAACCUUUCCCCUAUAAUUAAUUUUUGUGUGCUGUAGUCCAUUAGAGAAGAGAGUGACAGCCUCUGGACACAGAUUACUGUCUUAGGUAUGGCCCAAAGGAACAUUAUGGUCUUAAUUAAAGGUGGCUCAAUAUGUCAGCCAUUGCAAUAGUUUGAGCAUUUUUAAUACUGUGUCAGUAUCUAACCACCUUAAAAGAAUUCUGGUAGCAAGCAAACUAAGUAAUUUAAAGGCAGCUCAUGUUCUCUGUAAGUUUUGCAGGACUGCUAUUGGGAAUACUUGAUAAUUUAUGAAGGCUUACACCACCAAAUUAAUUACAUUUUCCUGAUGCCACAUGUCUUUUUCAUACAAGCUAGCUCUGAAUUAUAAGUAACAAUAUUGUCCUUGUUCAUUCCUUCAGUACAGGAGACAGCUUACUAAUUACACCAGUAGAAUUCAGUUGCUGUAUUUUAGAAGUGUCAUUUAUUAAACCUUGCUGCAGUUAAGGUGGUAUAUGCUUCUCUAAUAUUGACCCUGACUUCUGCUGUGUCUAUUACUGCAUCUCAGUUUCGUGCUUUUGGCAUGGGUUUCAUCUGGGAGCAUUUUUUGUAGCAUAGAAAAAUAAGUUCUGAGGAAAUGACAAAUGCAGAGACUUGCUGUGAUAUGCAGGAGGUACAACGCCAUGCACUCUGCUGUUUUGUGUGGGAAUGAGGUUAUACUUCAAGCCACUGU